GACCCUGUAGCUCAGUUGGUAGAGCAUGGUGUUUGCAACACCAGGGUUGUGGGUUCGAUUCCCGCGGGGGGCC
rfam:Salmo salar isolate Sally breed double haploid chromosome ssa20, whole genome shotgun sequence.